rnacentral:rRNA from 1 species
UUAGAGUUUGAUCAUGGCUCAGAACGUACGCUGGCGGCACGCCUAAUACAUGCAAGUCGAACGAAGUAGCAAUACUUAGUGGCAGACGGGUGAGUAACAUGUAGGUAUCUUCCCAUUGGUGAGGAAUAACACGAGGAAACUUGUGCUAAUACCUCAUAAGUCUUUACGGAGAAAGCUUUAUGCGCCGAUGGAUGAGCCUGCACUUGAUUAGUUUGUUGGUAGGGUAAUGGCCUACCAAGACAAUGAUCAAUAGCUGAUUUGAGAGGAUGAUCAGCCACAUUGGGACUGAGACACGGCCCAAACUCCUACGGGAGGCAGCAGUAGGGAAUAUUGCACAAUUGAGGAAACUCUGAUGCAGCGAUGCCGCGUGAGUGAAGAAGGCCCUUGGGUUGUAAAGCUCUUUCGUCGGGGAAGAAAAUGACUGUACCCGAAUAAGAAGGUCCGGCUAACUUCGUGCCAGCAGCCGCGGUAAUACGAAGGGACCUAGCGUAGUUCGGAAUUACUGGGCUUAAAGAGUUCGUAGGUGGUUGAAAAAGUUGGUGGUGAAAUCCCAGAGCUUAACUCUGGAACUGCCAUCAAAACUUUUCAGCUAGAGUUUGAUAGAGGAAAGCAGAAUUUCUAGUGUAGAGGUGAAAUUCGUAGAUAUUAGAAAGAAUACCAAUUGCGAAGGCAGCUUUCUGGAUCAUUACUGACACUGAGGAACGAAAGCAUGGGUAGCGAAGAGGAUUAGAUACCCUCGUAGUCCAUGCCGUAAACGAUGUGUGUUAGACGUUGGAAAUUUAUUUUCAGUGUCGCAGCGAAAGCGAUAAACACACCGCCUGGGGAGUACGACCGCAAGGUUAAAACUCAAAUGAAUUGACGGGGACCCGCACAAGUAGUGGAGCAUGUGGUUUAAUUCGAAGAUACGCGCAGAACCUUACCAACACUUGACAUGUUCGUCGCGACUUUAAGAGAUUAAAGUUUUCGGUUCGGCCGGACGAAACACAGGUGCUGCAUGGCUGUCGUCAGCUCGUGUCGUGAGAUGUUGGGUUAAGUCCCGCAACGAGCGCAACCCUCACUUUUAGUUGCCAUCAUUAAGUUGGGCACUCUGAAAGAACUGCCAGUGAUAAGCUGGAGGAAGGUGGGGAUGACGUCAAGUCCUCAUGGCCCUUACGUGUUGGGCUACACACGUGCUACAAUGGUAUCUACAACAGGAAGCAAGACUGCGAGGUCAAGCAAAUCCUCAAAAGAUACCUCAGUUCGGAUUGCACUCUGCAACUCGAGUGCAUGAAGCUGGAAUUACUAGUAAUCGUGGAUCAGCGUGCCACGGAGAAUGCGUUCCCGGGUCUUGUA